UACGGGGGGGGUAAGCGUUGUUCGGAAUUACCGGUGCGUAAAGGGCUCGUAGGCGGCCAACUAAGUCGGACGUGAAAUCCCUCAGCUUAACUGGGGAACUGCGUCCGAUACUGGAUGGCGUUGGAUUUGGGAGAGGGAUGCGGAAGUUCCAGGUGUAGCGGUGAAAUGCGUAGAUAUCUGGAGGAGUACCGGUGGCGAAGGCGGCAUCCUGGACCGACAUUGACGCUGAGGAGCGAAAGCUAGGGGAGCAAACGGG
rnacentral:rRNA from 1 species